UUUGAUAGCUUUGAGGUUUUUUGACAACCAAAAUCGACAAAUUGUCUGUGCCCCUCUAUACUGAAGGACUCUGAUUAUAAUGAAGUAGAUAGAGCUGAGUGCCAAUUUUCUACAACUUCAACUGUACUUGACAAUGGAUCACAGAGUACUCCCUUUCAUCCACCAAAGAACACCAUAAAUGGUUUCUUCGAAUCCAUUGAAAGCCUCUGGAAUGAACUGUGGAAGGAUUUGAAAGAUUUCAUUACUGGACAAACUUGCAGGCUCCAGUUAAUUAUUUUGCUUGAUUAUUGUUGAUUGCAAGAGGAAAUGGACAAGAGUUGGAUAACAAAGGACAGACUUUCAAAAGAGUAUGA